CUUGCGGCCAUAUCAUGUUGAAACACCGGUUCUCGAACUAUCACCCAAGUUAAGCAACGUUGAGCCUCGUCAGUACUGAGACCGGUGACCGCGAAGGAAUACCAGGUGACGU